CCGACCCAGGGAUCGAACCCAGGUCUCCUGCAUCGCAGGCAGACGCUUUAACCUCUGAGCCACCAGGGAAGCCCUUUCUUUGGGAAAGUCUGCUCUAAUUGAUUUGUAAUAUUAUAUCAAGAAUAUUAACUUUGUUGUACUUGGCAAACAUUUUCCCUAGUUUUUCUUGUUUUGAUUAUGUUUCGACAUAAAGAUUUUUUCAUUCUUGUGUAAUCAAACAUUGCACAAUUCCUUUAUUUUUUUUUAUGUUCUUUUGCUUUCUUUCCUUUUAAGCUCUUUAUAUGUUUCCUUUUAUGUUCUUUUGCUUUCUUUUGUUUGGAAAGACCUUCCUUAUCUUAAGAUUGGCUUUUUUAUCUUCUAGUGGGCUGGGUUUUGAAGGAGGCAAGGGAUGUGGAUUGACCCAGAGGAAGACAAGGAAGGGAUUUAGGGACUCAAAGCAAAUGCAGUGAUGGAGUUGGUGCUGCCAGAAGCAGGCACUGGCAAAUAGAAAUUGGAUUGCAUCAGUCUAAAGACAAGCAGACAUGGAGGAAAAAACUAUAAGUUUGGGACCUUGAAGCCUGGGCUAUGAAGCUUGAUAUUGAUUUGUUAAACAGGAAAGAGACUCACGCCAACUUGUCUCAAAAGGGAAUCCCACAUGGGAAAAGGGCACUAUCUAAUGUAAAUUUACUAGAAGUUGCACAGAUGCAGGGACCCAGAAGAGCUAGGGUGCUGUUGCUGAAAUCCCGGCCCUAGGUGAUGACACAGUAAAUGGGCACGACUGGCUCAGCAGGCGGGAUAGAGGAGGCAGGUCCAGGAAAUGCAUCCACGGGGGAAAUAAAACGAAAACAGCGACAAGAAGAAACCCGGGAGUUUGCAACUUAAUAAGUACAAGAGGAGGAGACAUGCAAAAGACAGAGUUUAAACCGUCUCCUGUGUCUGGAGAAAGAGAUGCUUCUUGAUAUUCUCCUUUCCUGACGUUCUUCAUCUUCCCUGACUUCUAAAUACUGGGCUUUGUCCCUGGACAAGCACAUGGACAUUUCAAGUCUUUACUUAAAUAGUACCUCAUGUGAAAUGCCAGGAUGGAUGAAGUGCAAGCUGGAAUCAAGACUGCUGGGAG